rnacentral:hammerhead_ribozyme from 1 species
AUCCAGCCGACGAGUCCCAAAUAGAACGAAAAGCGCAUUCUAGAU